rnacentral:rRNA from 1 species
GUGCACGCUGGCGGUAGGCCUAACACAUGCAAGUCGAACGGCAGCACAGUAAGAGCUUGCUCUUACGGGUGGCGAGUGGCGGACGGGUGAGGAAUACAUCGGAAUCUACUUUUUCGUGGGGGAUAACGUAGGGAAACUUACGCUAAUACCGCAUACGACCUACGGGUGAAAGCAGGGGAUCUUCGGACCUUGCGUGAUUGAAUGAGCCGAUGUCGGAUUAGCUAGUUGGCGGGGUAAAGGCCCACCAAGGCGACGAUCCGUAGCUGGUCUGAGAGGAUGAUCAGCCACACUGGAACUGAGACACGGUCCAGACUCCUACGGGAGGCAGCAGUGGGGAAUAUUGGACAAUGGGCGCAAGCCUGAUCCAGCCAUACCGCGUGGGUGAAGAAGGCCUUCGGGUUGUAAAGCCCUUUUGUUGGGAAAGAAAAGCAGCAGGUUAAUACCCCGCUGUUCUGACGGUACCCAAAGAAUAAGCACCGGCUAACUUCGUG